rnacentral:lncRNA from 1 species
GAGGUUAGAUAAGAUUUCUAUGAUAUUUAAAGAUCUACUAGUUGAAAUAAAGUGAAAUUUGGUAUGGAAUAAGAAGACUUAAAGAUCAAGCUACUUAUAAAUUUUAACUUAAGUUAAUAGUUGAAAAAAGAGAAAUCACUAUUGAAACAUUUGCAUUGACUUUCAAGUUGAUGACUAAGUAAUAUUAGUGCAGUUUUUUGGACGUUUUCUUAUAAUUUAUAAGUUGA